GACUGUCUCCAUACAAUAACAAAG
rnacentral:rRNA from 1 species